rnacentral:rRNA from 1 species
UACGUAGGGUGCAAGCGUUAAUCGGAAUUACUGGGCGUAAAGCGUGCGCAGGCGGUUAUGUAAGACAGAUGUGAAAUCCCCGGGCUCAACCUGGGAACUGCAUUUGUGACUGCAUAGCUAGAGUACGGUAGAGGGGGAUGGAAUUCCGCGUGUAGCAGUGAAAUGCGUAGAUAUGCGGAGGAACACCGAUGGCGAAGGCAAUCCCCUGGACCUGUACUGACGCUCAUGCACGAAAGCGUGGGGAUCAAACAGG